rnacentral:rRNA from 1 species
UACGGGGGGGGCAAGCGUUGUUCGGAAUUACUGGGCGUAAAGGGCUUGUAGGUGGCCAACUAAGUCAGACGUGAAAUCCCUCGGCUUAACCGGGGAACUGCGUCUGAUACUGGAUGGCUUGAGUGUGGGAGAGGGAUGCGGAAUUCCAGGUGUAGCGGUGAAAUGCGCAGAUAUCGGGAGGAACACCAAUGGCGAAGGCAGCUCGCUGGGACGGUACUGACGCUGAGACGCGAAAGCGUGGGGAGCAAACAGG